CGGUAACAGGAAGCAGCUUGCUGCUUUGCUGACGAGUGGCGGACGGGUGAGUAAUGUCUGGGAAACUGCCUGAUGGAGGGGGAUAACUACUGGAAACGGUGGCUAAUACCGCAUAACGUCGCAAGACCAAAGAGGGGGACCUUCGGGCCUCUUGCCAUCAGAUGUGCCCAGAUGGGAUUAGCUUGUUGGUGAGGUAACGGCUCACCAAGGCGACGAUCCCUAGCUGGUCUGAGAGGAUGACCAGCCACACUGGAACUGAGACACGGUCCAGACUCCUACGGGAGGCAGCAGUGGGGAAUAUUGCACAAUGGGCGCAAGCCUGAUGCAGCCAUGCCGCGUGUAUGAAGAAGGCCUUCGGGUUGUAAAGUACUUUCAGCGGGGAGG
rnacentral:rRNA from 5 species